CUAUCCAUGGAGGAGAAGAUCGGGCGUGCAAGAUUGCAGCUGAGAUGAGAGAGAACACGUUCAAUCAUGACCAUUGGUGAAGGCUUAUAGAGCAGAACUGCUGCAUCCUAACUCCAUCCAUCCACCAUCAUCAUCAUGUCAUUUCAUCAGACGGCCACACUGGGGCAACAUAACACCUUCAGACGGGAACUUCUUCCUUCUACUUCAUAUUCAUCUUCUUUUAUACUCUUUUUCUCUGUACUUCAGUGUGUAUUCAUACAUGUUCCUCUCAUUUUCCCACAGAUUCUCUUGGUCAUUUCUGAGAUUUUCCAGCUUGAUACUUUAAACAUUGUAUGAAAGUCCAUUUCCAACACUAAGCGAUAAUUAUGAGAAUAAAAGCCAUGACAAUAAGUCAAAAUUAUGUUGUAAAAAGUCAUUACAAAAUUUAGAAAUUACGACACAAAAGCUGUAAUUAUGAGAAUAAAAGCCAAAACUUUCUGACAGUCAAGAUUAUGACAAAAAGUUGUUAUUAUAAGAUACUAUGUGAUAAUUAUGAUAAUAAAAAAGCCCAAAAUUAUGACAAAAGCCACAAUUAUGACAAAAACCCAUAAUUAUGACAAAAAAUGUGUUAUUAUAAGAUACUAUGUGAUAAUUAUGAUGAUACAAAAAGCCCAAAAUUAUGACAAAAGCCAUAACUAUGACAAAAAGUUGUUAUUAUAAGAUACUAAGUGAUGAUUAUGAUAAUAAAAAGCCCAUAAUUACGACAAAAAGUCAAAAUUAUGGGGAAAAGUUGUAACUAUGAUAUAUUACUUUAAGUCAAUACUAUGAUAUAAAAGUCAUAAUUAUGACAAAAAGUUGAAAUAAGAUACUAAGGGAUAAUUAUGAUAAUAAAAGCCAAACAUUAUGACAAAAGUUGACAUUAUGAGAUAAAAAGUCAUAACUAUGAGACACUAGGUCAUAAUUAUGAACUAAAAAAAUGAAAAUUAUGGAAAAUUAAACAUUAAAAUUCAUAAUAAUGACAAAGCCAACACUUCUGAUGUAAAUAGUGACUAUAAUAUACUAAGUUAUAACUAUGAUGUAAAAAAAA